ACGGUGUUCGAAGAGGAAAAUGAAAUCAAGGCUAUGAAAGAGGAAGAAGAGGUUGGCGGUGAAGAUGAAAGUGAAGUAGAAGGCGGCGAACCCGAAGAGGAAGACGACGACGACGACGACGAGGAUGAUGAAGGCGAAGAUGGCGACGACGACGACGACGACGACGAAGGAGAGGAGGAUGACGAUGUGCAGGUUCUUCACUCAUCCGGUCCUCCUGUCCUGAUAGCUGAUGACGAGGAGGGCGAGGAUGUUAAAGACGAUGAUGACGACGAUGAAGGCGACGGCGAUGACGAUGACGAUGACGACGACGACGACGAUGACGACAGUGAUGAAGAUGAAG
rnacentral:lncRNA from 1 species